CGCUGUUCCCGCCCUCGGAGGAGCUGAACGUUCACCUGGAGGCGCUGCCGGCGCUGCCGGUGACCCCGGACGUGCUGGUGACGCCCUCGGAGCUGCGCUUCUUCCUCAAGGACGUCCUGGGCUGUGUCUGUGUCAAUCCCGGCCGUCUGACCAAGGGCCGGGCCGGGGGCACCUACGGGCGGCUGCUGCUGCGGAGAGAGCGGCACCGGGACAGUCCCGGGGAGAAUCCCGGGGAGAAUCCCGGGAAUGAGCCUGGGAACAAUCCUGGGAACAGCCCAGGGAACAAUCCCAGGGAAAAUCCCGGGAACAAUCCCAAUUCCGGGGCCGAGCCCCGGAGCAGCCCCUGCGUGGCCGCCCAGGUGGUGAGGAUCUGAGCUGGCUCCGGCAGGAGCGGGAACUGGGGAGAAAACAUCUGGAAUUGGGAGAAAACAUCUGGAACUGGGGAGAAAACAUCUGGAAUUGGGAGAAAACAUCUGGAAUUGGGGAGAAAACAUCUGGAAUUGGGGAGAAAACAUCUGGAACUGGGGGGAAAACAUCUGGAACUGGGGGAAAACAUCUGGAUAUGGGGGGAAAACAUCUGGAAUUGGGGUGAAAACAAUUCCUGGAAUUGGGGAGAAGACAUCUGGAAUUGGGGAGAAGACAUCUGGAAUUGGGGAGAAAACAUCUGGAAUUGGGGAGAAAACAUCUGGAACUGGGGGAAACAUCUGGAAUUGGGGUGAAAACAUCUGGAACUGGGGUGAAAACAUCUGGAACUGGGGGGAAAACAUCUGGAACUGGGGAGAAAACAUCUGGAACUGGGGAGAAAACAUCUGGAUUUGGGGAGAAACUCCUGGAUUUGGGGUGAAAACAAUUCCUGGAAUUGGGGUGAAAACAUCUGGAAUUUUGGUGAAAACUCCUGGAUUUGGAGAGAAAACUCCUCGAACUGAUGUGGAAACAAUUCCUGGAACUGAGGUGAAAACUCCUGGAAUUUUGGUGAGAACGUCUGGAAUUUUGGUGAGAACUCCUGGAAUUUUGGUGAAAAUUCCUGGAAUUUUGGUGAACCCCCCGAUGUUUCGGCACACGGAGGAAUUUCACCCCUGAGAAAAGGGAAUUUGGGAAUCCAGGCACGGGAUCCUCCCCGUCCUGGCGUCACCCCUCGCCCUCAUUAGAGUUAAUUAGCGCAAAACCAAUUAAUUACGGGCUCCUGGCGCUGCUGCUUCCCAGGAAAACACGAAGCUCCGGCUCUGACCCUUUUCCCAAACUUUUUGCCCCAAAUUUAUGAUGAUGAAGGUGAAAAUAAAUUCAAGUUUUUGUCUCUCCUGGUGUCGUUU
rnacentral:lncRNA from 1 species